rnacentral:rRNA from 1 species
UACGUAGGGUGCAAACGUUGCUCAGAAUUACUGGGCGUAAAGCGCACGUAGGCGGCUUUGUAAGUUAGAGGUGAAAGCCCGGGGCUCAACUCCGGAAUUGCCUUUAAGACUGCAUCGCUAGAAUUGUGGAGAGGUAAGUGGAAUUCCGAGUGUAGAGGUGAAAUUCGUAGAUAUUCGGAAGAACACCAGUGGCGAAGGCGACUUACUGGACACAUAUUGACGCUGAGGUGCGAAAGCGUGGGGAGCAAACAGG